UGCCAGACUCCUACGGGAGGCAGCAGUGAGGAAUAUUGGUCAAUGGGCGCGAGCCUGAACCAGCCAAGUCGCGUGAGGGAUGACGGCCCUACGGGUUGUAAACCUCUUUUGUCGGGGAGCAAAGCGAACCACGUGUGGUUCAUUGAGAGUACCCGAAGAAAAAGCAUCGGCUAACUCCGUGCCAGCAGCCGCGGUAAUACGGAGGAUGCGAGCGUUAUCCGGAUUUAUUGGGUUUAAAGGGUGCGCAGGCGGGGGUGCAAGUCAGCGGUAAAAUCGCGGGGCUCAACCCCGCUCCGCCGUUGAAACUGUGUCCCUUGAGUGCGCGAAGGGUAGGCGGAAUGCGUGGUGUAGCGGUGAAAUGCAUAGAUAUCACGCAGAACUCCGAUUGCGAAGGCAGCAUACCGGCGCGCAACUGACGCUCAUGCACGAAAGCGUGGGUAUCGAACAGGAUUAGAUACCCUGGUAU
rnacentral:rRNA from 1 species